rnacentral:rRNA from 1 species
CCUACGGGGUGCAGCAGGCGAGAAAACUUUGCAAUGUGCGAAAGCACGACAAGGUUAAUCCGAGUGAUUUCUGCUAAAGGAAUCUUUUGUCAGUCCUAGAAACACUGUUGAAUAAGGGGUGGGCAAGUUCUGGUGUCAGCCGCCGCGGUAAAACCAGCACCUCAAGUGGUCAGGAUGAUUAUUGGGCCUAAAGCAUCCGUAGCCUGCUUUGUCAGUUUUCGGUUAAAUCCAUACGCUCAACGUAUGGGCUGCCGGAAAUACUGCAAAGCUAGGGAGUGGGAGAGGUAGACGGUACUCGGGAGGAAGGGGUAAAAUCCUUUGAUCUCUCGAUGACCACCUGUGGCGAAGGCGGUCUACCAGAACACGUCCGACGGUGAGGGAUGAAAGCUGGGGGAGCAAACCGGAUUAGAUACCCGGGUAGUCCCAGCUGUAAACUAUGCAAACUCAGUGAUGCAUUGGCUUGAUGCCAAUGCAGUGUUGCAGGGAAACCGUUAAGUUUGCCGCCUGGGAAGUACGUACGCAAGUAUGAAACUUAAAGGAAUUGGCGGGGGAGCACCACAAGGGGUGAAGCCUGCGGUUCAAUUGGAGUCAACGCCAGAAAUCUUACCCGGAGAGACAGCAGAAUGAAGGUCAAGCUGAAGACUUUACCAGACAAGCUGAGAGGUGGUGCAUGGCCGUCGCCAGCUCGUGCCGUGAGAUGUCCUGUUAAGUCAGGUAACGAGCGAGAUCCUUGCCUCUAGUUGCCACCAUUACUCUCAGGAGUAGUGGGGCGAAUUAGCGGGACCGCCGUAGUUAAUACGGAGGAAGGAAGGGGCCACGGCAGGUCAGUAUGCCCCGAAACUCUGGGGCCACACGCGGGCUGCAAUGGUAACGACAAUGUGUUCCGAAUCCGAAAGGAGGAGGUAAUCCUCAAACGUUACCACAGUUAUGACUGAGGGCUGCAACUCGCCCUCACGAAUAUGGAAUCCCUAGUAACUGCGUGUCAUUAUCGCGCGGUGAAUACGUNCCUGCUCCUUGCACACACCGCCCGUC